rfam:Tupaia belangeri cont1.162168, whole genome shotgun sequence.
UCUGAGCCCGAAGGUCCGGAGAUAUGUGUCAGUUGACAGGCAUUUAGCCUGUUAUUUGAAGUAGACAAGUAACGGUCCAGCUUAGGCUAAAAGAAGAACGUGUUACAUCUAGUGUCUAAACUUCAAACAACGAAAUAUAUUUCUGAGACCUUGUGUAGAGACACACAUGUCCUUCAAACAGCCCCACCAG